AUGAGGCUGCUGGGUCUUCUCCUGUGCUUGGUGACAGCUCCCCAAGGUGUCCUGUCCCAGGUGCAGCUGCAGGAAUCAGCACCAGGAUGGGUGAAGCCCUCACAAACUCUGUCCCUCACCUGUGCUGUCUCUGGUGCCUCAAUCAGCAGUUAUGCUUGGAGCUGGAUCCGCCAGCCCCCAGGGAAAAGUCUGGUGUGGAUCGGACACAUAAAUUCUGGUGGAGGCACAAGCUACAACCCAUCCCUCAAGAGCCGCAUCUCCAUCUCCAGAGACACGUCUAAGAACCAGUUCUCCCUACAGCUGAGCUCUGUGACCGCAGAGGACACAGCCACAUAUUACUGUACAAGAGACACAUACCAAGACAAUGUGUAUGACUCUGUAGGGCCUCAAUAA